UGCACGCCCGAGCCCUUGAAUCCCAAACACCACAUGUGAACCCACCGUAGGCCUUCGGGCCUAUGUCUUAUCAUAUAAUCCGAAUGUCUAAUAGAAUGUAAACCCAUUUCGUUGCCUUGAAAACGUAACGAAAGAAAACUAUACAACUUUCAACAACGGAUCUCUUGGCUCUCGCAUCGAUGAAGAACGCAGCGAAAUGCGAUAAGUAAUGUGAAUUGCAGAUUUUCAGUGAAUCAUCGAAUCUUUGAACGCACCUUGCGCCCCUUGGUAUUCCGAGGGGCAUGCCUGUUUGAGUGUCAUUAAAUCCUCAACCCCUCCGAUUCGUUUCGGUGGGGAUUGGACUUGGAGCGUGCUGGCGAAGGUCGGCUCCUCUUUAAAUGCAUCAGCGGAGAAAAUGCCUUUUGCGCCUCUGGCCGUUCAGCGUGAUAAUGAUGUUGCGCUGCGGUCGAGCUUAAGGUCCGCUUCCAAAGGUCCUCGGACAAAUAUACAUAUGACUUUUGACCUCAAAUCAGGUAGGACUACCCGCUGAACUUAAGCAUAUCA
rnacentral:rRNA from 1 species